rnacentral:rRNA from 1 species
GCAACGCGAAGAACCUUACCUGGUCUUGACAUCCACAGAACUUUCCAGAGAUGGAUUGGUGCCUUCGGGAACUGUGAGACAGGUGCUGCAUGGCUGUCGUCAGCUCGUGUUGUGAAAUGUUGGGUUAAGUCCCGCAACGAGCGCAACCCUUAUCCUUUGUUGCCAGCGAUUAGGUCGGGAACUCAAAGGAGACUGCCAGUGAUAAACUGGAGGAAGGUGGGGAUGACGUCAAGUCAUCAUGGCCCUUACGACCAGGGCUACACACGUGCUACAAUGGCGCAUACAAAGAGAAGCGACCUCGCGAGAGCAAGCGGACCUCAUAAAGUGCGUCGUAGUCCGGAUUGGAGUCUGCAACUCGACUCCAUGAAGUCGGAAUCGCUAGUAAUCGUGGAUCAGAAUGCCACGGUGAAUACGUUCCCGGGCCUUGUACACACCGCCCGUCACACCAUGGGAGUGGGUUGCAAAAGAAGUAGGUAGCUUAACCUUCGGGAGGGCGCUUACCACUUUGUGAUUCAUGACUGGGGUGAAGUCGUAACAAGGUAACCGUAGGGGAACCUGCGGUUGGA